rnacentral:rRNA from 1 species
GAUCUUGGCUCAGGAUGAACGCUAGCUACAGGCUUAACACAUGCAAGUCGAGGGGCAGCAUGGUCUUAGCUUGCUAAGACCGAUGGCGACCGGCGCACGGGUGAGUAACGCGUAUCCAACCUGCCUUACACUCUUGGACAGCCUUCUGAAAGUGAGUAUUAAUACAAGAUGUUAUCAUGAGUAAGCUAUUUUCGCAUGAAUUAAAGGUAUUCCGGUAGA